rnacentral:rRNA from 1 species
GAUGAACGCUAGCGGCAGGCCUAACACAUGCAAGUCGAGGGGCAGCACGUCUUCGGAUGGUGGCGACCGGCGCACGGGUGCGUAACGCGUAUGCAACCUACCUUACACUGGGGUAUAGCCCGGAGAAAUUCGGAUUAAUCCCCCAUGGUACUUUUGAAUGGCAUCAUUUGGAAGUUAAAGUAUUACGGUGUAAGAUGGGCAUGCGUCCUAUUAGCUAGAUGGUAAGGUAACGGCUUACCAUGGCAACGAUAGGUAGGGGUCCUGAGAGGGAGAUCCCCCANACUGGUACUGAGACACGGACCAGACUCCUACGGGAGCAGCAGUGAGGAAUAUUGGACAAUGGGCGCAAGCCUGAUCCAGCCAUGCCGCGUGCAGGAAGAAGCAUCUAUGGUGUGUAAACUGCUUUUGACGGGAAGAAACACUCCUUACGUGAAAGGGAG